AGGGAUACGUUAUGAAAUAGGAAAGCCUUUACCUUAGUAAUAUUCUUGUUCCCUCUCCAAAGAUUGUGUGUGUGGUUUUGGCGUAGUUCGUAUAGUUGGGCUUUUCUUCAACAGCAUGUACAUGCUGUGCUUACUGUCAGUUUAAAGGCCGUUUGUAAUAUAAAGAGAUACCUUAAGGGUCACAUGUUAGAAUGCUCACAGACUUCCUACAAAUGGAGUAUUAGGUGUUCUUCAGUGGCAAAAAGGAUAUCCAAGAUGUCAUACUUUUUCUUUAUUACAAAUGACUAUCCUUCAAAACAGGCUAAAGUGUUAUGUUUCUGAAAGCCAGAUGUGGAUUGGUUCAGUUAUACCUAUUAAGUGCUUAAAACUUAAAUGUAAAUUAUGUAUGUGCUUUUUUGUAAGGGAGUGUUUAGACAUUUCUGAUGAUUAGUCUUCUAUUUGUCUAACUUUCUUGAUUUGGAUUUCAGAUUAACGUCUUCAAGGACCCAGUUGCUGAUCCCAACAAAAGGUCCAAAAAGGGCCGAUUAUCUUUACAUAGGACGCCAGCAGGGAAUUUUGUUACACUGGAGGAAGGAAAAGGAGACCUUGAGGAAUAUGGUCAGGAUCUUCUCCAUACUGUCUUCAAGAAUGGCAAGGUGACAAAAAGCUAUUCAUUUGAUGAAAUAAGAAAA
rnacentral:sRNA from 1 species